UACGGGGGGGGCAAGCGUUGUUCGGAAUUACUGGGCGUAAAGGGCUCGUAGGCGGCCAACUAAGUCAGACGUGAAAUCCCUCGGCUUAACCGGGGAACUGCGUCUGAUACUGGAUGGCUUGAGGUUGGGAGAGGGAUGUGGAAUUCCAGGUGUAGCGGUGAAAUGCGUAGAUAUCUGGAGGAACACCGGUGGCGAAGGCGGCAUCCUGGACCGGUAUUGACGCUGAGGCGCGAAAGCUAGGGGAGCAAACGGG
rnacentral:rRNA from 1 species